GAUGAACGCUGGCGGCGUGCCUAAUACAUGCAAGUCGAGCGAACGGACGAGAAGCUUGCUUCUCUGAUGUUAGCGGCGGACGGGUGAGUAACACGUGGAUAACCUACCUAUAAGACUGGGAUAACUUCGGGAAACCGGAGCUAAUACCGGAUAAUAUUUUGAACCGCAUGGUUCAAAAGUGAAAGACGGUCUUGCUGUCACUUACAGAUGGAUCCGCGCUGCAUUAGCUAGUUGGUAAGGUAACGGCUUACCAAGGCAACGAUGCAUAGCCGACCUGAGAGGGUGAUCGGCCACACUGGAACUGAGACACGGUCCAGACUCCUACGGGAGGCAGCAGUAGGGAAUCUUCCGCAAUGGGCGAAAGCCUGACGGAGCAACGCCGCGUGAGUGAUGAAGGUCUUCGGAUCGUAAAACUCUGUUAUUAGGGAAGAACAUAUGUGUAAGUAACUGUGCACAUCUUGACGGUACCUAAUCAGAAAGCCACGGCUAACUACGUGCCAGCAGCCGCGGUAAUACGUAGGUGGCAAGCGUUAUCCGGAAUUAUUGGGCGUAAAGCGCGCGUAGGCGGUUUUUUAAGUCUGAUGUGAAAGCCCACGGCUCAACCGUGGAGGGUCAUUGGAAACUGGAAAACUUGAGUGCAGAAGAGGAAAGUGGAAUUCCAUGUGUAGCGGUGAAAUGCGCAGAGAUAUGGAGGAACACCAGUGGCGAAGGCGACUUUCUGGUCUGUAACUGACGCUGAUGUGCGAAAGCGUGGGGAUCAAACAGGAUUAGAUACCCUGGUAGUCCACGCCGUAAACGAUGAGUGCUAAGUGUUAGGGGGUUUCCGCCCCUUAGUGCUGCAGCUAACGCAUUAAGCACUCCGCCUGGGGAGUACGACCGCAAGGUUGAAACUCAAAGGAAUUGACGGGGACCCGCACAAGCGGUGGAGCAUGUGGUUUAAUUCGAAGCAACGCGAAGAACCUUACCAAAUCUUGACAUCCUUUGACAACUCUAGAGAUAGAGCCUUCCCCUUCGGGGGACAAAGUGACAGGUGGUGCAUGGUUGUCGUCAGCUCGUGUCGUGAGAUGUUGGGUUAAGUCCCGCAACGAGCGCAACCCUUAAGCUUAGUUGCCAUCAUUAAGUUGGGCACUCUAAGUUGACUGCCGGUGACAAACCGGAGGAAGGUGGGGAUGACGUCAAAUCAUCAUGCCCCUUAUGAUUUGGGCUACACACGUGCUACAAUGGACAAUACAAAGGGCAGCGAAACCGCGAGGUCAAGCAAAUCCCAUAAAGUUGUUCUCAGUUCGGAUUGUAGUCUGCAACUCGACUACAUGAAGCUGGAAUCGCUAGUAAUCGUAGAUCAGCAUGCUACGGUGAAUACGUUCCCGGGUCU
rnacentral:rRNA from 1 species